rnacentral:misc_RNA from 1 species
GUAAAAUUUUUUGGCCUUUAAUGAAAAGUGUAGGAAGGAGGAUACCAAGAAGGCCAAGAAAAAUUUCCCAAAUUGAAGUCUAUAAAUUAAUCCCUUGGACUUCCCUCCACCACUGAAUUCUGCGUGCAGAUCAGCAUGGACAAAGAACAUCGAGAGCUCCAGCUGUCUCUUGGGUUCUUUGGAAUCUUGAAAGAAUCCUUCAAGAUUAUAGUUUCUUGGAGAAAAAUUUUUAGCCAGAUCACCCUUGCUUUUAUUCUUCCUCUCUCCUUCCUCUUCCUUGCUCAUAUCCAAAUCUCCCAGGUCCUUUUCUUCAAGAUUGAAGAUAGCUUAGAAUAUGGCAACGGACUCUAUCACAAAAAUUCCCAUAAAAUCUCCUCCGAGUGGAUUGCCUUCUGGCUUUUCAAGAUCGCCUACUUCAUUGUCCUUCUGAUACUUUCCCUUCUCUCUACUUCUGCAGUUGUUUAUACUAUUGCUUGCAUAUAUACUUCAAAGCCAAUCACCUUCAAGAAGGUGAUGAGUGUUGUUCCUAGAGUUUGGAAGAGACUUAUGGUCACUUUUCUGUGGAGUUUUGCUAUAGUUUUUAUCUAUAAUGUUAUAGCAGCGGCAGUAAUUAUCUUGUGGGUGGUCCUUCAUGGAGGUAAUACUGUCUUUGGAGUUGUGAUUUUUGUGCUUCUCUUGAUUUUCUACAGUGUUGGGUUCUUGUAUAUUACCAUAAUUUGGCAUUUGGCAAGUGUGAUUUCUGUUUUAGAGGAAAUUUAUGGGAUCAAAGCCAUGAUCAAGAGCAGGAACUUGAUAAAGGGUAAGC